GCCUUACAUGCAAGUCGAACGGUAACGCGGGGCAACCUGGCGACGAGCGGCGGACGGGUGAGUAACGCGUAGGAAUCUACCUGGUAGUGGGGGACAACAUGGUGAAAACCAUGCUAAUACCGCAUACGCCCCAUGGGGGAAAGCGGGGGACCUUCGGGCCUCGCGCUAUCAGAUGAGCCUGCGUAGGAUUAGCUUGUUGGUGAGGUAAAGGCUCACCAAGGCGACGAUCCUUAGCUGGUCUGAGAGGAUGAUCAGUCACACUGGAACUGAGACACGGUCCAGACUCCUACGGGAGGCAGCAGUGGGGAAUAUUGGACAAUGGGGGAAACCCUGAUCCAGCCAUGCCGCGUGUGUGAAGAAGGCCUUCGGGUUGUAAAGCACUUUCAAUAGGGAGGAAAACCUGCCGGUCAAUACCCGGUAGCUUGACAUUACCUUUAGAAGAAGCACCGGCUAACUCCGUGCCAGCAGCCGCGGUAAUACGGAGGGUGCAAGCGUUAAUCGGAAUUACUGGGCGUAAAGCGUGCGUAGGCGGUUCGUUAAGUCAGAUGUGAAAGCCCCGGGCUUAACCUGGGAACUGCAUUUGAAACUGGCGGACUAGAGUUGAGUAGAGGGGAGUGGAAUUUCAGGUGUAGCGGUGAAAUGCGUAGAUAUCUGAAGGAACACCAGUGGCGAAGGCGACUCCCUGGACUCAAACUGACGCUGAGGUACAAAAGCGUGGGUAGCAAACAGGAUUAGAUACCCUGGUAGUCCACGCUGUAAACGAUGUCAACUAGCCGUUGGUCCUAUUUACAGGAUUAGUGGCGCAGCUAACGCAU
rnacentral:rRNA from 1 species